rnacentral:rRNA from 1 species
GUUUAUUAAAAACAUGGCCUAUUGAUAAAAUUUUAGGUUUGACCUGCCCAAUGAUUUUAUUUAAUGGCCGCGGUAAUUUGACCGUGCAAAGGUAGCAUAAUCAUUAGUUUUUUAAUUGAAAGCUUGUAUGAAGGGUUUGAUGAAAAAAUGACUGUCUCUAUCUAAACUAUUUAGAAAUUUAUUUUUAAGUUAAAAAGCUUAAAUAUUUAUAGAAGACGAGAAGACCCUAUAGAAUUUUAUAAUUUUUUUAUAUAAAAAAUAUUUAGUAUUAUAAAUUAUUUAUUUAAAGUAUUAUUUAAUUGGGGUGAUUGAAAAAUUUAAUAAACUUUUUUUUUAUUUUUACAUUUAUUUAUGAAUUUUUGAUCCUAUAAUUUAGAUUAAAAGAUUAAAUUACCUUAGGGAUAACAGCGUAAUUUUUUUUAGAGUUCUUAUCGAAGAAAAAGAUUGCGACCUCGAUGUUGGAUUAAAAUAAAUUAUUGGUGUAGAAGCUAAUAUAUUAGGUCUGUUCGACCUUUAAAAUUUUACAUGAUCUGAGUUUAAACCGGUGUGAGCCAGGUCG